UCUGUGGUUGGUAUGAAAAAUGAAUAGAAAAAUCUGUUAAUAACAAAAGAAAAUAAAUGGCUCUGUUUUAGUUUUAUUUGCUUUCUAUGUUUUGGGGUGGGGUGGGGGAUGGUUUUCUCUAGGCUUCACUAAAGAACAUACUUUGCUCACUUACUUUUAGCUUGCAUUUUAGAGUGACUUGGGAUAUGCUUUUCCUGCCUAUGUCACUUCCUAACUCUCAUGCUCUUCUCUUUUUCUCUCUCUUUGCACCAAGUGCUCAGGAUACAGAGAGCUCAGUUUGCCUUCAUGGUACUUAGUGGUUUGGGGGUAAACUCUUCAUCACCAGAUUAAAUUUUCUUUCCCUUGGGUUGACGUCAGGUGCAAGUGGUUUUAGUGAAGUACCUCCACCAAACGGGAUGCCACGGCUGGAGAGGACAAGGUUCUCGGUAAUGAGAGUUGGGUUGUUGAUCAUCUGUCCUAGCAGUAUCAUUGGGGAAUGCAGUAGAAACCCUCAAUCUUAGGAUGUAGCCCAGGACCAGAGGGUUUCCUUUUCACUGGCUCUCCAGAGGCAUCUCAAAUUUGAAGAGCAUGAGUCAGACAUCAUGCUAAGAGUGUAUGGGGGGAGAGGAGUGAAUUAUUGCGGAGGCUUUGUGUUCUUUAAAAAAGAAAGUAAUUCAGAUGGGGACAGUAGACACCAUGGAGAGUUAGAGGACACAAAAAUCCUGGGGGUAGUGGCACUGUGAAGCUAUGUUCCAACUGUCUUAGCAUGCUGCAUGCCUAUCAUCCUAUUAUCAACCACCUAUGAACUUAGCUGGUGCUUCAAGGAAAGCAAAGCAUGCCGAUGAACACACAAACAUGAUCAAUAGUUCCAGUUUCCAUCCUAAGACUUACUGUGCAAAUUGUAGUGCUAUACAAUUCAUGACUUCAAAGAACUAGUCUUCUGAGGGAUGAUUUCCCUAAUUUGUCAUCCAAACGGUCAGCCCUGAAAUCAUAAACAUACAAGCAACACUAAGUGGACUCGGUUGGUUGUAUUUAUAUAUUUAUUCACUAUAUAUGUAUUAACAAUUUAAAAGGGUGCUAUGAAAUUGAAUUGGAACAGGGUGAGGUAUGGGAGAAGUCGAGGGCAGAAGAGGAAGGGGGUAAUGAUGUAAUUAUAUAAAAUUAAAAAUAAAAAUGUAGCACCAUAGAUGGUAAUUUCUAGUAGGCUUUCAGUGAGAAGAGGCAAGUUGUUCUCGAAGCUUUCUACCUGUGGAGCACUAAAAGCCAUUAAAACACAAAUAGUAGUGUGUGUUUUGUAGCAUUCUGCCAGCAAGUGGGUUCUUACCUGUGGUUUCUGCUGAGGACUUGGGUUGAUGACUCAGGUUGGAAAUAGGACAGCUGAUGGCUCCCUACUUCCCCAAGAUGCCUUUGCCUUUGCAUUCCACUAGAAUGGAGGGGGGUGCGUUGCUUGCUGCUGCCAUUCACCUUGGAAAGGAGUAAAUGUGACCUGUUUUUCACGUGAAACCCACAUCACUCUGGCAGCCAUCAAGGAAGACAGUGAUUACAAGUGGCCAUUGGGCAUGUUUGAGCAUGAAAAGAUUCAAUUAAAUAUUUGGAAUUUA